rnacentral:snRNA from 1 species
AUCUUUGCGCUUGGGGCAACGAGACAGUUAGUGAAGUGUAAACAAGAGGCGUCAAUUGCUCGUUGAAAAGUAUAUCCAUCACAUUUUAUUUUUUUUUCAAGUUUUCAUAAACAAAAUUUAUUUAUACAAUAUCUCUUAUCAAGCAUUUGUAAGAU